AUUGAACGCUGGCGGCAUGCCUUACACAUGCAAGUCGAACGGCAGCGCGGGAGCAAUCCUGGCGGCGAGUGGCGAACGGGUGAGUAAUAUAUCGGAACGUGCCCAGUAGUGGGGGAUAGCCCGGCGAAAGCCGGAUUAAUACCGCAUGAGACCUGAGGGUGAAAGCGGGGGAUCGCAAGACCUCGCGCUAUUGGAGCGGCCGAUAUCAGAUUAGCUAGUUGGUGGGGUAAAGGCCUACCAAGGCAACGAUCUGUAGUUGGUCUGAGAGGACGACCAGCCACACUGGGACUGAGACACGGCCCAGACUCCUACGGGAGGCAGCAGUGGGGAAUUUUGGACAAUGGGCGCAAGCCUGAUCCAGCAAUGCCGCGUGCAGGAA
rnacentral:rRNA from 1 species